rnacentral:lncRNA from 1 species
CGGCGCCCAGUCGCAGACUUUAAUCGGAAAGAAUCAGGUAGAAAUCGCCAACGGGCAAAAUGAAAUCCGAUUAGUCGUCGCAUAGCCUUAGAGCCGAGUGUAAACCUAGGUCUUGCCCUAAACCCAAUCCUACUGGUCCAUUAACAUCUCAAGUCAUGAUAUCGAAACUGAUACGAGAUCUUAAAACAUGUCUCAUCGUCCACAUCUAAAACGCUCACGAAACUUCGUAAAACUCCUAAACGUUUUCAAAUACCCUCGAAAGAGCAAACAAACAGAACGACAAAUUAUGAGUUAAGAUACGAAGUGACUACUCGUGUCUUUCCCUCGACACUUGGCAUAAGUAUAAACUAAAACCCAUAGAAUGCUAAAAGAACAUUCGUUAUAUAUAAAAAGGCCGCAGAGCGGCUGGGAUUCGAAGCCACCAACGGCCCGUCCCACAUACAUAGUCAAAUGACCUCGCAAGGCCAUAGCACACUCAAAUAACGAACGACCACACUCGGCCUAAAACACUACACGAAAUCUUGAGAUAACGGCAAAGGGAAAACAAUCCCGACGACCUUCAGAGAUCAAGGUUAAGAUACCCGAAAAUCGAGGCUCCAAAUGAGUCCGCGGGCUGAUCCACUUCUCCUCUCUC